GUGCGCCACAAAAAGAACGCCAUGAAAUGACGUUCGGGGAAAAGCGAACUUUGGGGGCAACGCGGCGCUCCGUCGCGAUUGUUCAAGAGUGGAUUGGGAAUGCGUACCUCGGAGCCGCUCGUCGGAACCAGCCCCACGGCGGCCAUCCGAAAGCCCAAAAGCUCCUUUUCAUCGCCGGAUGUCUAAUCACCACGUUUGCGCCACCAAAGAGGUGUGAAGCUCCUCCGACUGUUGAGCCUGCCCGAACGUGUCUGCGGAUGCUCACCAUGUUCCUGGGGUUGGACAUGAGGAAGUGUUGGGCCACGUGCGCCGGCAGCAGGUUGAACAGGAUCCUCUUGUUGUCCAACUUCACUUUCUCCAUGUCGUCUCUCUCCUCUUCCGCCUGGGCGCCAUCAGCCGUCGCGCAGGACGCGAGUCCAACAAAAAGACGGCAAUCAUUUCUUUCGGCUCUCAUUGGAACUCAGCCUGGGUGGUAAUUGCGCCUUUUAUUCGCUAGGGGGAUGUGACGAGUUACUUUUCACCGACUCACUGUGACUGUCUGAAAAUGCAACCAAGUCCAACCCUCAGCUUCAAUUUCUCACACGUGUGCGUUGUGAACGCUUAACAAUUGUGACGUCAUAGCAUGAAGCAUUCCGCCCCCCCCUCAAAUGUGUGCAUAAUUCUUAGUUUUCGGCAAUAACACCGUAUGGGUGAAUUGAAAAUAUUUGAAAUAACGGUAUUGUUCAACCGUGAACAUCUCAGUGAUCAUUUCAAGAGCAUUUUUAUUUUUGAGCAGAACUUCAAUAUGUAAAAAAAAAAAAGGGUUGGGCUGGCAAUUAAAGUCAAAAGAGUAUUUGCAUAUGUUUACGACAUGAUGAGUGCAAUAAUGCAUAUGGCAUCGGGUGGAUUAUUGGAAACGUCAAACAUAUUCCCACUAAUCCGGUGAUAUGUUGCGGAACACGAUGGUAUGAUGUAACGUAACCAGAAACUUUCUCUUGUCCAUGAAAAAUAAAUUCCAGCUGAAGCACAAUGUCAAUUAUGUCACGUGUGUAAAUUAAUUUGAGUACGUUGACAAUUUGAUUUAUGGUGUCCACUUUGGGAUUCAUUAAUUAUCGGGGCAAAUAUAAUCGUGACAUAUCAAAUAACACCUCAUUUGAGAAGGACCCCAUAACAAGAAGAGCCUCUCAAACAGUGACGUACAAUUGAAUGCGUUCAAAUACGGACCGCCCUGUCAUCCACGAGUGACAAAUCCAAAACGAUAUUCUUCGAGUUUUACCAAGUUCCCGUGGAAUGCCCAACAGACAAGCAUACCUGAGUGGCCCACAGGUAGUCAAAACGCAGCUUGAGGUCGAGCUGCCUCGAGUGGAGAGCCAGAGCUCCGGAGAACAGCAACACAGCCAGGACGGGAUCGGAACCCCGAGUGUGCGGAAAGCCGGCGCUGGAAGACGGAGCGCAACAUGACAUGCUCGUAAAAUAUGCAUCUCAUUUGCUGGAGCUUGCCGAUAGCCACUGAUCUCCACGAUGACCGUGUAGGUCGCAGACAGAAGGAAGAGCAGGAGGAUUUUGGGGAGCGAAGAUACUCUGAGGUAGGGGACAAUGGUGAGCGUGCCGGCCAGACAGGACAAGAGCGCGUAGGCCAUGCUCGGGCCAGCUCUUUCUGCGGCCGUGGCGUUGGCCGGGUCGUCGGCAAACAUCUCCGUGGGGGAAUCCUGUAACGAGUUGUUGGAUUUGACUUGAACUUGACUCCGUGGUAUGAAUCCCACCUGUAAAGAUUCCAGAGGGAAAAAAAGCGCUUUGACGGAGACAACGGCAAAAAACAUCAAUUCAAGGUCAUACAGACAAUAAAAUGUUCAUACACGAA